UUUGCUUAACCCAUUUUUAGUGGGGGGGCGCUUUUUAACUGGAGGGAAGGUGGGGAUGACGUCAAGUCAUCAUGGCCCUUACGAGUAGGGCUACACACGUGCUACAAUGGCGUAUACAAAGAGAAGCGAACUUGCGAGAGUAAGCGGACCUCAUAAAGUACGUCGUAGUCCGGAUUGGAGUCUGCAACUCGACUCCAUGAAGUCGGAAUCGCUAGUAAUCGUAGAUCAGAAUGCUACGGUGAAUACGUUCCCGGGCCUUGUACACACCGCCCGUCACACCAUGGGAGUGGGUUGCAAAAGAAGUAGGUAGCUUAACCUUCGGGAGGGCGCUUACCACUUUGUGAUUCAUGACUGGGGUGAAGUCGUAACAAGGACAUGCC
rnacentral:rRNA from 1 species